rnacentral:rRNA from 1 species
CCCUUAGAUGUCCUGGGCUGCACGCGCGCUACACUGAUGUGUCCAGUAAGCACCUAACCUAUUCCGAGAGGAGCGGGUAACCUUAGCAAAGCACAUCGCGAUGGGGAUAGAUUAUUGCAAUUAUUAGUCUUGAACGAGGAAUUCCUAGUAAGCACAAGUCAUCAGCUUGUGUUGAUUACGUCCCUGCCCUUUGUACACACCGCCCGUCGCUCCUACCGAUUGAAUGUUCCGGUGAGCUCUUCGGACUGCGCGGUCUGCAGUUUCUGCGUUCCGUGCGGAAAGUUGUGCAAACCUUAACAUUUAGAGGAAGGAGAAGUCGUAACA